CAGGGAGACAACAAAAUGUUUAAUAUUAUUAUUUUGUCACCUUAGGUCGAUCGGUAUCUCACAUUCUUAAUUUAUUAAGGAUUUUAUUUCCUAAGUUUUUCUAGGUCACACCCAUUAUUUUUCCUGGGCCAUUAGCUCAGGUGGUUAGAGCGCACCCCUGAUAAGGGUGAGGUCCCUGGUUCAAGUCCAGGAUGGCCCAUAUCUCUAUGUUGGGGGUAUAGCUCAGUUGGUAGAGCGCCUGCUUUGCAAGCAGGAUGUCAGCGGUUCGAGUCCGCUUACCUCCACUGAUUACCACCUCUUCCAUAAUUUUUAUUAAGGAAACAUUUUGAGUAGUGAUCAAAUUCUGAACGAAUCUAGCUUCCUAAUGAAAUCAUUAAGAUGCUGGACUCAUUGAAUUAAUUUCAUUGUUUUCAGAGAACCUUGACAACUGCAUAGAUUAUUUUUAAAGACAAUUAAGCAUCUUUAUGAUGCAGAUUUAUUAUUGUGCAAUUGCAUUAAUAACAAUUCUAUUAAGCUGAUGCUUCAAUUAUGAAGUUAUU
rnacentral:tRNA from 1 species